GAUGAAGAACGUAGCGAAAUGCGAAAAGUAAUGUGAAUUGCAGAAUUCAGUGAAUCAUCGAAUCUUUGAACGCACAUUGCGCCCGCCAGUAUUCUGGCGGGCAUGCCUGUCUGAGCGUCAUUUCAACCCUCAUGCCCCUAGGGCGUGGUGUUGGGGAUCGGCCAGCGCCCGCGAGGGACGGCCGGCCCCUAAAUCUAGUGGCGGACCCGUCGUGGCCUCCCCUGCGAAGUAGUGAUAUUCCGCAUAGGAGAGCGACGAGCCCCUGCCGUUAAACCCCCAACUUUCUAAGGUUGACCUCAGAUCAGGUAGGAAUACCCGCUGAACUUAAGCAUAUCAAUAAGAGGAGGA
rnacentral:misc_RNA from 1 species